rnacentral:rRNA from 1 species
GAUGAACGCUGGCGGCGUGCCUAAUACAUGCAAGUCGAGCGAACAGACGAGGAGCUUGCUCCUCUGACGUUAGCGGCGGACGGGUGAGUAACACGUGGAUAACCUACCUAUAAGACUGGGAUAACUUCGGGAAACCGGAGCUAAUACCGGAUAAUAUAUUGAACCGCAUGGUUCAAUAGUGAAAGACGGUUUUGCUGUCACUUAUAGAUGGAUCCGCGCCGCAUUAGCUAGUUGGUAAGGUAACGGCUUACCAAGGCGACGAUGCGUAGCCGACCUGAGAGGGUGAUCGGCCACACUGGAACUGAGACACGGUCCAGACUCCUACGGGAGGCAGCAGUAGGGAAUCUUCCGCAAUGGGCGAAAGCCUGACGGAGCAACGCCGCGUGAGUGAUGAAGGUCUUCGGAUCGUAAUACUCUGUUAUUAGGGAAGAACAAAUGUGUAAGUAACUAUGCACGUCUUGACGGUACCUAAUCAGAAAGCCACGGCUAACUACGUG